AGAGAGGUGGUCUAGCAUGGUACCGUGCCGGGUGCUGGCUGCCCGGCAUGCCGGAUUGAUAUUCGGUUUGGGACCGAAUGGCCGUGGGUUCGAAUCCCACCCUCUCUA
rnacentral:tRNA from 1 species